rnacentral:lncRNA from 1 species
GCCCGAUGCAGACACCUGCCCUUCGGCUAGCACCCCAGCUGACAUUAGCACACAGUGCCAAUGUCUGAUGUCCUGCCCUCCACUCCUAAGUGUUCUUACUUUCUCCGUUGUCAUAUCUGGGGACCAGAUAAGCUCAUGCCUACCAAUUCCUGCAUCAGUCAUUUCCAUGGCGAGGUCUUAGAUGAUUUUGAAGUGCUGUCCAGAUGGGAAAUCUGUCAAGCAUUUUUGCAUUCACCCCUUUUUCCAUAACCACCCAUGGAAAAUUAUAUGCUCAAUAUAUGUUUAUAUACUAAAUGAAUCAAUGCAUGAAUGAAUAACUGCAGAAUGAAUGGAUUUUUGUUAGCAAAAAAAUGCCUUCAAGUUCAGGUUGUAAUAAAAUGUUUUCCAAAAUCUCUGUGGACUAAAUAUGGUGGAUAGAUCACUAAAUGAAUUAAAUAAAGGUCUCCAGAGACUUAACAAUGAAGAUAACAAACACUAUACAUGCAAAGCAUUUUCAUUAAUGUAACAUGUUUUUACAUAUUUUUUUAAAAUACAAUAAAUGCAAGAGCUUUUUGAAACUCUGGUCUGUAC